rnacentral:misc_RNA from 1 species
CACUUCCGAGCAGAAUCCACCAUGGAGCUGUAAAGAUCAGCCUCAUAUAUACAGCUUUCAUAUUUCUUCUUCCUUUCAAUCUUCUUCUUGUUCUUCUUAUUCUUUUUAAAGUUUUGGUGGUCAAUGUUUCAGAUAGAAGAAAGGCAUGAUAUCAGGCACUAUUUACAAGUUGAAGUCCAACCUAAAACUCGUAAUGACACUGAAGUUGAAUCAGUAAUAAACCCUCAAGCCAACUACUCCAAGUGCUUUGAUGAUGAUGGCCGCUUGAAGAGAACAGGAACAUUUUGGACAGCAUCAUCCCAUAUAAUUACAGCAGUUAUAGGGUCCGGUGUCCUAUCAUUGGCAUGGGCCAUGGGGCAACUGGGCUGGGUUGCAGGACCAGUUGUUAUGGUUCUCUUUGCCAUUGUCAAUCUCUAUACUUCCAAUCUAUUAGCGCAGUGUUACAGGGCUGAUGACCCUGUCAAGGGACAGAGAAAUUAUACAUACAUGGAUGCUAUCAAGGCUAAUUUAGGGGGACGAAAGGUCUUCUUCUGUGGAUUGAUUCAAUAUCUGAAUUUGUUUGGCGUUGCAAUUGGAUAUACUAUCGCAGCUUCAGUUAGUAUGAUGGCAAUAAAGAGAUCAAAUUGUUUCCAUGCAAGUGGAGGGAAAGAUCCAUGCCACAUGUCAAGCAACGGAUACAUGAUAACAUUUGGAAUCACAGAGGUGGUGUUUUCACAGAUUCCAGACUUUGAUCAAAUAUGGUGGCUCUCUAUUGUUGCAGCUAUUAUGUCUUUCACAUACUCUGCUGUUGGUCUGGGCCUUGGCAUUGGCAAAGUUGCAGAAAACGCAGCCUUCAAGGGAAGCCUCACUGGUAUCAGUAUUGGGACAGUAACCCAUGCUGGGUUAGUCUCUUAUACCCAGAAGCUAUGGAGAAGUUUGCAAGCUCUUGGAGCUAUUGCCUUCGCAUAUUCUUACUCUGUAAUCCUCAUCGAAAUUCAGGACACAAUAGGAUCUCCUCCUGCAGAAUACAAAACCAUGAAGAAGGCAACUUCUUUUAGUAUUGCAGUGACUACAUUUUUCUACUUGCUCUGCGGAUGCAUGGGAUAUGCAGCUUUUGGUGAUAAUGCACCUGGAAAUCUAUUGACAGGUUUUGGAUUUUAUAACCCUUACUGGUUGCUAGACAUUGCCAAUAUUGCGAUCAUCGUGCACCUAGUUGGUGCAUACCAGGUAUACUGCCAGCCAUUGUUUGCAUUUGUGGAAAAAUGGAGUGCUCAUAGAUGGCCAAAGAACGACUUUGUGACUGCGGAAUACGAGAUGCCAAUCCCCUUUUUCGGCGUCUACCAGGUGAACUUGUUCCGGAUAGUGUGGAGAAGCAUAUUUGUUGUUGUGACAACCCUCAUAGCCAUGCUUAUGCCCUUCUUCAAUGAUGUUGUUGGAAUACUUGGUGCCAUGGGAUUCUGGCCAUUGACUGUAUAUUUCCCUAUCGAGAUGUAUAUUUCUCAGAAGAAGAU